rnacentral:rRNA from 1 species
UGGGGAAUAUUGCACAAUGGGCGAAAGCCUGAUGCAGCAACGCCGCGUGAGUGAUGAAGGUCUUCGGAUUGUAAAGCUCUGUCUUUUGGGACGAUAAUGACGGUACCAAAGGAGGAAGCCACGGCUAACUACGUGCCAGCAGCCGCGGUAAUACGUAGGUGGCGAGCGUUGUCCGGAUUUACUGGGCGUAAAGGGUGCGUAGGCGGAUGUUUAAGUGAGAUGUGAAAUACCCGGGCUUAACUUGGGUGCUGCAUUUCAAACUGGAUAUCUAGAGUGCAGGAGAGGAGAAUGGAAUUCCUAGUGUAGCGGUGAAAUGCGUAGAGAUUAGGAAGAACACCAGUGGCGAAGGCGAUUCUCUGGACUGUAACUGACGCUGAGGCACGAAAGGCGUGGGUAGCAA